rnacentral:rRNA from 1 species
CCCAUAAGACUGGGAUAACUCCGGGAAACCGGGGCUAAUACCGGAUAACAUUUUGAACCGCAUGGUUCGAAAUUGAAAGGCGGCUUCGGCUGUCACUUAUGGAUGGACCCGCGUCGCAUUAGCUAGUUGGUGAGGUAACGGCUCACCAAGGCAACGAUGCGUAGCCGACCUGAGAGGGUGAUCGGCCACACUGGGACUGAGACACGGCCCAGACUCCUACGGGAGGCAGCAGUAGGGAAUCUUCCGCAAUGGACGAAAGUCUGACGGAGCAACGCCGCGUGAGUGAUGAAGGCUUUCGGGUCGUAAAACUCUGUUGUUAGGGAAGAACAAGUGCUAGUUGAAUAAGCUGGCACCUUGACGGUACCUAACCAGAAAGCCACGGCUAACUACGUGCCAGCAGCCGCGGUAAUACGUAGGUGGCAAGCGUUAUCCGGAAUUAUUGGGCGUAAAGCGCGCGCAGGUGGUUUCUUAAGUCUGAUGUGAAAG